rnacentral:tRNA from 1 species
GCCGGGGUGGCGCAGUAGGUAGCGCGCUCGGCUGUUAAACCAAGACAUGGAUGAAGAGCGAACCUCCAUUCAGAAUAACUCGACAUGUCUCAUAUGGAAACCGAGCGGUCGGAGGUUCGAGUCCUCCCCCCGGCG